rnacentral:rRNA from 1 species
GGUGAACACCGUGCCACCGCUGUCGGUAGUCCGGUGGGGGCAGGCGUGGUCCGGAUUUAUUGGGCGGCAAGGGCGUGUAGGCGGGCUGGAAGGUCAGCUGUGAAAACUCGAGGCUCAACCUCGAGACGUCGGUGGAAACCACCUGGCUAGAGUCCGGAAGAGGAGAGUGGAAUUCCCGGUGUAGCGGUGAAAUGCGCAGAUAUCGGGAAGAACACCCGUGGCGAAGGCGGCUCUCUGGGACGGUACUGACGCUGAGACGCGAAAGCGUGGGGAGCGAACAGGAUUAGAUACCCGAGUAGC